rnacentral:rRNA from 1 species
GAUGAACGCUAGCUACAGGCUUAACACAUGCAAGUCGAGGGGUAACAAGAGAAAAGCUUGCUUUUCUUGUUGACGACCGGCGCACGGGUGAGUAACGCGUAUCCAACCUGCCUAUAACUAGGGAAUAACCUUGCGAAAGUAAGACUAAUACCCUAUGAUUUCCUUUGAUGGCAUCAGAUUAGGAAUAAAGAUUUAUCGGUUAUAGAUGGGGAUGCGUCUGAUUAGCUUGUUGGCGGGGUAACGGCCCACCAAGGCAACGAUCAGUAGGGGUUCUGAGAGGAAGGUCCCCCACAUUGGAACUGAGACACGGUCCAAACUCCUACGGGAGGCAGAAGUGAGGAAUAUUGGUCAAUGGGCGGAAGCCUGAACCAGCCAAGUAGCGUGCAGGAUGACGGCCCUAUGGGUUGUAAACUGCUUUUAUACAGGAAUAAAGUUAGCCACGUGUGGUUAUUUGUAGGUACUGUAUGAAUAAGGACCGGCUAAUUCCGUGCCAGCAGCCGCCGCCG